rnacentral:lncRNA from 1 species
AAAUAUGGUCUCAGAUACUUCCCAGCUGUGUGACCCUGGGCAAAUCACAACUCCCAUUGCCUAGCCUUUACCACUCUUCUGCCUUGGAACCAAUAUAUAGUACUGAUUCUAAGGCAGAAGGUAAGGGUUUAAAAAAAUGUUCUAUAAAUCCUGAGUCUUCUGAGGGCUAGGGAUGAAGCUUUGUAAUUGGUUGGAUUUUCUGGGUUUGGUCUGCCAACAUAUAUAUUUUUAAGUCUCUAAUGGUCUUCUAUAAAGGUUGAAAGGAUGUCCCCUUCAUUGCCUAGGUUUUGUUUGCAGUCUGUUAUCUGGCCCCAGUAAAUUUGAGGAGAGCAUUGCCCCUCAAUUCCCUCUCCACCAUCCUCCCCAAAUCAGGAGAUCUUGGCACAUCAUUUGACUAUUUUGCAGAUCUGUGAAAGACUGACAGCCAACAAACAUUUAUUAAGUACCUACUAUGUGCCAGACUCUAUACUAACCAUUGGGGAUUCAAAGAAAGGUAUGAAGAGUGAAUAAAACUCUUUUUGUCUGUCAAUAAGCAACUUUUAAGUUAAUCAAUCAUAAACUUAAGUACCCCUACUUCUACCUUACUUGACAACAAAAAAGAGUUCCCAAGACACUUACUAGAUUAAGCUCAUGCCCUCCCUGGGCAGUGCUAGGUAAAUUGAAAGACUGUGAUUGGUUCAUAUAAAGUGGGAGAGCAACAGGAAGUGAUAUCAAGAAAACUGCUUUUAAAAAGCCAGCUUAAUGAUUCAGUCAUUCUCUCUGCGUGAGCCAGUCUAGAGGAGGAGACUUUUCCCCUGGAUCCUGUGUAGGGUUUCUGGGUGAGUAGCUGGCCUUCCUUUCCUGGCUUUUGGAGAGAUUGGUUCCAGAGAUUCCUGCCUUGGCUUUGGAGGAGGCUGCAUUGGUGGAACCCUGGCUGAAGAGAGGACUUCUGACUGAGGAUUACCUGGAAAAUCCACAUAGAGAUUCAAACGUGGAGAAGCCCUGCUGAGACUGAGCCUGGCUUCUCAGGAGAAGGGCUGGUAGACUUAUUAUCUACAUUUUUCCACUUUUGCUCUUUCCACCUCUUUUUAAAUAAAGCUGCUAUAGAGAAGAAAAAGGAAGGAAGGAGAGAGAGAAGAAGAGGGAGGAGUGGGGAG